GAUGAACGCUGGCGGCGUGCCUAAUACAUGCAAGUCGAGCGAACAGACGAGGAGCUUGCUCCUCUGACGUUAGCGGCGGACGGGUGAGUAACACGUGGAUAACCUACCUAUAAGACUGGGAUAACUUCGGGAAACCGGAGCUAAUACCGGAUAAUAUAUUGAACCGCAUGGUUCAAUAGUGAAAGACGGUUUUGCUGUCACUUAUAGAUGGAUCCGCGCCGCAUUAGCUAGUUGGUAAGGUAACGGCUUACCAAGGCAACGAUGCGUAGCCGACCUGAGAGGGGGAUCGGCCACACUGGAACUGAGACACGGUCCAGACCCCUACGGGAGGCAGCAGUAGGGAAUCUUCCGCAAUGGGCGAAAGCCUGACGGAGCAACGCCGCGUGAGUGAUGAAGGUCUUCGGAUCGUAAAACUCUGUUAUUAGGGAAGAACAAAUGUGUAAGUAACUAUGCACGUCUUGACGGUACCUAAUCAGAAAGCCACGGCUAACUACGU
rnacentral:rRNA from 1 species